GCCUGGGAUAGCUCAGUUUGGAGAACAUGAGACUCUUAAUCUCAGGAUUGUGCAUUCGAGUCUCUUGUUGGGCA